GUCAGGCUCGCUCACGACAACACGCCACCAACACACAUAAAAGCCGAGGGGCUCAGUGUGUGGAGUGAACCCACAACCCAAACGAAACAAGACUGUGUUGACAAAAAACCGAAUCUCUCUCUCUCUCACACACACACACUCGUUUUAUCUCGCAAGUCUGAACAUUGAGAACAGAAAGAAAAGUGCAAGGGAAGAAAACAACACAAAACAAGAGUUGCAGUUGAAGUUAAGAAUGGAGGACAGUGUUAGUAGCAGCAACACGAGUGCCACCAAUGUGGCACAAGCUAUACACACUGCCCUUGACUGGGCCUCUUCUCCUGACGCUCGACAAAACGCCGUUGCUUUUCUCGAUUCCAUCAAGAAUGGUGAUAUACGGGUAUUAGCAAACACAUCAUUCCUUCUGGUGAAAAAGAACUGGUCGUCUGAAAUCCGGUUACAUGCCUUUAAAAUGCUGCAGCAUUUGGUGCGCUUACGAUGGGAGGAAUUAGGCCCUGCAGAGCACAAGAACUUUGCAAAGCUUUCUGUUGAUUUAAUGUCUGAGAUUUCCAAUCCUUGUGAAAAUUGGGCUCUCAAAAGCCAGACAGCUGCCCUUGUUGCUGAGGUAGUUAGAAGAGAGGGUCUUAAUUUAUGGCAAGAAAUGCUUCCAUCUUUGAUUUCUCUAUCCAGCAAUGGUCCGAUAGAAGCGGAGUUGGUUGCAAUGAUGCUGCGGUGGCUUCCUGAAGACAUUACAGUUCACAAUGAAGACUUAGAAGGUGAUCGGCGAAGGCUACUUUUGCGUGGGCUAACUCAAUCAUUGCCCGAAAUUUUGCCACUAUUAUACACUUUACUAGAAAGGCACUUUACAGCUGCAAUGAAUGAAGCUGGUAGGAAACAGAUGGAUAUUGCCAAACAGCAUGCUGCUACUGUAACAGCUACUCUAAAUGCUAUGAAUGCAUAUGCUGAGUGGGCUCCAUUGUCAGAUUUUGCUAAGUCUGGCAUCAUUCAUGGUUGUGGUGUACUACUAUCUGCACCAGAUUUUCGUCUUCAUGCUUCGGAGUUUUUCAAACUUGUCUCUCCAAGGAAGAGGCCUAUUGAUGCAUCUGCCUCUGAAUUUGACCAAGCUAUGAGCAGCAUCUUUCAAAUAUUGAUGAAUGUAUCUAGAGAAUUUUUGCAUAGAUCUGGUUCAGGUCCUGGGUCCAUAGAUGAGGGCGAAUAUGAAUUUGCUGAAUUUAUAUGUGAAAGUAUGGUGUCACUGGGUUCUUAUAACUUGCAAAGUAUUGCUGGUGAUAGCACCAUACUUCCACUUUACCUUGAACAGAUGCUGAGAUUUUUCCAACAUUUCAAGUUUGCUAUUCAUUUUCAAUCCAUGCACUUCUGGCUGGUGCUAAUGAGGGAUUUGAUGUCAAAGCCAAAAAGUUCCACACAUUCAGCUGCUGACAGUUCAGCUGUUAGUAGCACAGGUUCUGGAGAAGUUGAAAAUGCCAAGAAAAAGACUCUAAGCUUUGUGAGUGAUGAUUUUUGUGGUGCAAUUUUGGAUACAUCUUUCCCUCGCAUGCUCAAGAGACAAAAGAUGCUGCAUGAGACUGCCAUUUCUUUAGGGGCAUUGGAGUUGUGGAGUGAUGAUUUUGAGGGCAAGGGAACAUUCAGCCAGUAUCGUUCUAGACUGUUGGAGUUGAUUAGGCUUGUUUCUUCUUACAAACCCCUGAUAGCUGCUACUAAAGUUUCUGAAAAAAUUGAUACAAUCAUCAAAGAUCUCUUGCUUUCACCGGCACCAACUCAGGACUUAGCUGUGAUGGAAAGCAUGCAAUUGGCUUUAGAGAAUGUUGUAAAUGCAGCUUUUGAUGGAUCAAAUGACUUUACCAAGACAAAUGCUGAAGUCCAGUUUGCAUUAUGUAGAACGUUUGAAGGUUUACUUCAACAAUUUAUUUCCUUAAAAUGGACGGAGCCUGCACUUGUUGAAGUACUUGUGCACUAUUUGGAUGCUAUGGGCCCCUUUUUGAAGUAUUUCCCAGAUGCAGUUGGCAGUGUUAUUAAUAAAUUAUUUGAACUACUAACAUCUCUUCCCCUUGUAAUCAAGGAUAUGUCAAUGCAUAAUGCACGGCAUGCAAGGCUGCAGACCUGUACAUCAUUUAUUCGGAUAGCGAAAACUGCUGACAAAAGCAUCUUGCCUCAUAUGAAGGGUAUUGCUGAUACAAUGGGAUGUUUGCAAAGGGAGGGUCGUUUGCUUCAGGGAGAGCAUAAUCUUUUAGGCGAAGCAUUUCUUGUUAUGUCUUCUUCUGCUGGGAUCCAACAGCAACAAGAUGUUUUAAGGUGGUUACUAGAACCUUUAAGCAUUCAGUGGACACAAUUGGAGUGGCAGGAUAAGUAUUUGUCAGGUCCACACGGUUUGGUUCAGUUGUGCUCAGAUGUGCCUGUUAUGUGGUCAAUUUUUCAUACAGUGACAUUCUUUGAGAGGGCACUUAAGAGGAGUGGAUUGAAGAAAGCCAAUUGGAAUUCAGAAAACAGCUCAACACCAAAUUCAAUUCCUUUAAAUCCAAUGGCCUCUCACAUAUCAUGGAUGGUGACUCCUCUCUUGAAACUACUUCGCUGUAUACAUUCCCUUUGGUCUCCAUCUGUAAGUCAAGCUUUACCUGGUGAGGUCAGAGCUGCAAUGGUCAUGGGUGAUGUUGAGAGGUUCAGUCUUCUUGGAGAAGGGAACUCUAAAUUACCAAAGGGUGUCACAGAUGGAUCUAAGAUUGACAUGAAUAAAGAAGGAUACGCUGAACCCAAUGAAUCAGAUAUUCGAAAUUGGUUUAAAGGCAUCAGAGACAGUGGAUAUAAUGUAUUGGGCUUGUCAACAACCGUUGGGGAUUCGUUUUUCAAAUAUUUGGAUGUGCACUCUGUUGCUGUUGCCCUAAUGGAGAAUAUACAGUCAAUGGAGUUCAGGCAUAUAAGACAGCUUGUUCAUUCCACUUUGAUUCCUUUGGUUAAAAAUUGUCCUUUGGAUAUGUGGGAGAUUUGGCUGGAAAAGCUUCUACACCCAUUUUUUGUCCAUGCUCAGCAAGCACUUAGCUGUUCAUGGUCUAGUCUUCUACAAGAUGGUAGAGCAAAGGUUCCAGAUGCUCAUGGCAUUCUUAGUGGAUCAGACUUGAAAGUGGAAGUGAUGGAGGAAACAAUUCUGAGGGAUCUCACGCGUGAGAUGUGUUCACUCCUCUCUGCCAUAGCUUCUCCUCCCCUUAAUACUGGAAUUCCUUCUUUGGAACAGUCUGGGCAUGUUUGUCGAUUAGAUAUGUCUUCUCUAAAAAACUUGGAUACAGUUGCAUCAUGCUCUAUGGUUGGUUUCCUUCUAAAGCAUGAAUGUCUGGUCCUUCCAACACUACAAAUGUGUUUAGAAGCUUUUACAUGGACGGAUGGUGAAGCCGUGACUAAAAUUUCUUCAUAUUGCUCUGCAUUGGUAGUUCUUGCAAUAGUAACAAAUCAUGCAGAACUCGUUGAAUAUGUUUCUAGAGAUCUUUUUACAUCCAUUAUUAAAGGUUUAGCCCUUGAAUCAAAUGCAAUAAUCAGUGCUGAUCUAGUUGGCAUUUGUCGCGAAAUAUUUGUUUAUCUUUGUGAUAGACACCCAGCUCCCAGGCAGGUUUUAAUGUCUCUCCCCAAUAUUACCACUCAUGAUUUAGUUGCCUUUGAGGAAUCCUUAACGAAAACAUUCAGUCCAAAGGAACAAAAGCAGCUUACGAGAAGCUUGCUUCAAUUAGCAUCUGGUAACAAAUUGAAAGCACUUGCAGCACAGAAAACUGUGAAUAUCAUUACAAAUGUUUCAAUGAGACCACGCCCAGCCAAUGCUCCCGAGUCCAAAGUUGAUGAUGGUGAUGCUGUGGGGUUGGCAGCCAUCAUGUGAUAUUUGUUUUGAGUUCAUGGAAGGUUUUGUGUACAGGAGUGAGCUCGUAUUGAGAAGAUUUUGGGUUUUCAUUAUUUACUAACAAAGGGUGUGAAAGCAUUUCUUCCCCUGCAACAUUAACAAGCAAAUUUGGUGGGAGUACAAAAAUUUUAUGCCCUUCCUCUUUACUCAUAGCAACAUGUGAAUCAGGUUUACUCUAUGCACACUUUACUUCAUUUGCAGUAUAUAGCUCUCUUCAGAUUAACAGAACCACACCUGGCAGUUCGGACUUUUGUAUUUAGUUUUUUUCCAGAAUUCAAAGUCCAGCUGCGAUCAGAUUAUAAUUUCGUUAUUUUAUGCCUCACUUUUGAAGCAUACAAUGAGAAGUAACUCCACAUGUUUAUUUGUUAUUAGUUGAAGUUCAUGCAGAUGUGGUAAACCCCAAUAGAUGUAGAAUGAGAUCCACUUCAUUUGAUGGGAUCUACAUGCAUAUUCAACUAAUAGUGAAGUAGCAACAAAUUAAGAGAGCCCGAGCGAGCGACCUUGCUAAAAGCUUUUCAGCAGUCAAGAGUGUGAUUGGUUCAGAAUCGUGUUAGAAUAUCCAAUAAACUAAUUUUAGGUUGAAAUCAAUUGGAAGAUUAGUUGGAAGAAGGUUCAGUUCAGAAAAAGAAAAAGUGUUUUCUUUGACGAGAGAGAAAGCCAUAGCUUAAAAUGGGACCAGGCAGUCUAGGCCCAGGAGGCCCUCCUGGUUGGGGUGCACCUGGCCCACCAGGCCCAGGACAUUUCGGUGGGUUUUGCGAUAUCAUUAGCACUUGCCUCAACAGCAAAGAAGAUACUAUAUUAAUAUGGAUAUAAGAAACACCCAGAAGUUUACAACGGACUGAGAACAAUGUGCCUAUUUGUGUCAUAGGUGAUGGCAGUUUGUAUUGUCUAUGUUGCUGCUGUCUCCUGGAGAGUUGUUGCGGCCCAAUGCUUGGUGGACCUCCUCCUGGGCCCCCUGGCCCAGGUUUCUGAUAAUCCAUACUUAAGAUCCAUUUCAAGAGGAAUCGAGGAAAUUAAAAAAAGAAAAACAUUCUGUGUGAGUGUAAGUGUGAUGGUUGUUGUGGCAAGUGGCAACCCCUUUGGAUUCUGCUACAUUUGUUUUGAGGAAAAUACUAACCAAUGUUCUAAGAAAGUAAAGGGAGUCCGAAGCUUUUUGUCCAA